rnacentral:rRNA from 1 species
UGUCCUUAUUUGCCAGCACGUAAUGGUGGGAACUCUAAGGAGACUGCCGGUGACAAACCGGAGGAAGGUGGGGACGACGUCAAGUCGUCAUGGCCCUUACGACCAGGGCUACACACGUGCUACAAUGGAGCGUACAAAGGGUUGCGACCUCGCGAGAGUGAGCUAAUCCCAUAAAACGUUUCGUAGUCCGGAUCGCAGUCUGCAACUCGACUGCGUGAAGUCGGAAUCGCUAGUAAUCGUGAAUCAGAAUGUCACGGUGAAUACGUUC